AUGAUUUUUAAUGAAGGGCUGAUGCCAAGCAAACGGCAGGUUUACCGGACUUUCCAAACCUUUAGGAAGAGAUCUUUUGGACUGAUCUCAAUCGCGGGAGGGCGAUCCAAGUGUGCCUUGGGAAGCGACGCGCUUGUCCCAGUGAGCGCGGCCGGGCCGUGGGGCCGGGCCGUGGGGCCGGGCCGUGGGGCCGGGCCGUGGGGCCGAAUGACCCCGUUGCUGGGGCUGACAAGCGGCCCGGCGGGCAGCACCCACCUCCGGCCGCCCACAGCUGCAGCCGAGCACAUGACUGCUUCCUUCCAGCAGGACUCCUUCCCAAGGAGCUCUGAACCCGGCCAGCCGUUCCCAAGGAGCGAUGGCCUUCAAAAAAGAAUUUUUAGAAGCAGCUUGCCUUCCCUUCAGUUUUUCUGCCUCAGAGCCUCUCUACCUCCCUGUUCUCACCUACCUGACUCAGUCUGUGUAGCUGUCCAUUGCCAUCAGUGGUAGAUGUUUAACCAUCACACAUGUUUUUCUUUGGGAUACCGCAGUUCCAGUGGUGUACAAGUUUGCAUUUCUGUGUAUGGGCUGCAAUUAACACAUUUUAGCUAUUUGAGAGUUUCAUACAGUGAGAUUGCUGUAUUGUACCCAUCAGUAGCUCAGUUUAGCUACAUGCCCUGUGGUAUUACACAUCCUGGAGGCUUUAUGAUUUGCUUUUAAGAGACAGUUGUUCCAUCAUGCUGGCAUAGCAUCGCUUUGGUGAUAUACUCAUGAAAGAAGUAUACAUGUGGAAGAAUCAUGUACAAAAUGUACUAGGAUGGCACUUAGGAGAAAAGAAUACACUUCUAGCUCUGUGGCUCAGCUCCACAGUAUCCAUUCUCUACUUGACUCUGUAGUCCUGGUUACCUUCCCUUACAAAGCUCUGAAACUUGGUUUAAAAGCACCACAUAAGUCUUAUUUCAGACUAAAGAAACUUCAUUAAAGUUCUUAUAUGUCAGUUCUGUUACUUGUCACACAUUAGUUCAGCUAUUUACUGAUAAUACUUACUCUGUGGAAGCUAAAGGUUCCAAAAUACAUUCCAAUUAUACUUGGGCUGAUUUUUGUUAUUGAAAAUAUUUUUAAGAAUUUGAGGUUCAUGAAAUAUUCAGUUAAAUUGUCCUAGAUUCCAUCUCUCUUUAAAUCACCAUCCACUGUUACUUUUGCAACUCAGAGGUUGAAAUACUGUAAGAUCUAAAACUGGACAAUGAGAAAAUUAAAUUUUUUGUGGGUGAUAAUAAUUUCUGGUUUUGAAACCAGUCCUUUUUUUUCUUUCUGUUAGUGUAGUAGCUGUAAUUGUGAGUUAACACAAUUGUGAUUAUCAGUUUCAGAUUGUUUUAUUUUUUUUUACUGACACAUGUGGCCCAUGUUUGGCCUGAAUGCUGUACCCUUAAGAGUCAUAUGGAUGUAUAUAAAUAGUAGUGAUUGCUGAAGUUGUUGAAAUUGAUACUGUGUUGAAAUAAGUUCAGACUGUCAGGUAAACAAACAGAGCCUAAUUCCAAAUAAACUGGUGAAUUUCAAAACUUUUUUUGGUAUA
rnacentral:lncRNA from 1 species